AAAUAUAGUCUCGUCUCCUUCUCGUGAAUCCAAUAUCGUGUCUCGCCUCGUCUCGUGAGCUGACUAUAUCGUUACACCCCUACUGGAAGAGGCCACCUUGUUUUGGGCAUAGGCUUCAUAUUGCGAUUGACAAAAAGCACAGGCAUCUUGUCCCAACAUGGCAAGAUGUUGAGGUGCUGGAAGCAGGAAGUAAAGCACUAGGCCCUCUUCUGGAGUUCACAGAUGCUCUUUCAGGAUCAAAGCCAUUACGCCGGCAGCUGCGAGAGAACUUAUGGCUGUGGGGACAGAGGAAGACAGCCCUACCCCAGGACCCUCACCUGCUUCAGCCACCCGAUGGCUGCAGAAACUGGAUCAGGUGAUGAUGCAAGGGAGGGAGCAAAAAGAAAAAAUGUCUUUUGGCAGCUAUUUCAAAAAUCACAGGAAUUCAGGGAAGACGAGUAUCUGCCCACUGCCACUGAAAAAGAGAUCAAGAGCUACUUAAUGAUAUCCGAGGUGGACAG